AAGACUCGGGGGCCGCACCUCCUGAACUCAUUGAGGCGCUCCAUCAGUCUGUCUCGUUCCGCCCCCUCCACCAAAGUAGGGAAUGCAGCUCCAACCGGGGGCCUCUGCACAGGUGGUGCCGCCAAAACCUCCUCCUGGGGUACGGCCGCAGGCGCCGCCCGAGAAGAACUGGGCGUGGGGGACGGCGCUCUCAGUGCAACGUCCACAACUGGCGCUGGCGGGGUAGGGGCCUGAGUCUCUCUAGAAGCUGCCGCCUGCUGCAAUAGUAGGUCCUCUAGACGCUUCAUCCGCGCCUCCUAUCGGCGCGCCGCCUCGGUUUGCUGUCGGGCCGCCUCCGCCUGCUGAGUAACCAAAUCAGUGAGGGCCGCAAGCUGGUCCCUCAACUCACGGACCUCGCUGGAUCCGGAGGUAGCGGAGGUCUCGACCUCAUCGAAGUUUGCCGCAUUGUCC
rnacentral:lncRNA from 1 species